rnacentral:rRNA from 1 species
GACAGAGGUGCCGAGCGUUAGGCGGAAUCACUGGGCUUAAAGCGUGUGUAGGCGGGUCGGUAAGUGUCUUGUGAAAUCCCACCGCUCAACGGUGGAACCGCUGGGCAUACUGGCGAUCUUGAGCAGUCCAGGGGCGAGCGGAACAAGCGGUGGAGCGGUGAAAUGCGUAGAUAUCGCGUGGAACGCCGACGGUGAAAACAGCUCGCUGGGGACUCGCUGACGCUGAGACACGAAAGCCAGGGGAGCGAACGGG